rnacentral:rRNA from 1 species
AGUAGCUUGCUACAAACUGAUGAGAGUGGCGCACGGGUGCGUAACGCGUGAGCAACCUACCCAUAUCAGGGGGAUAGCCUCUCGAAAGAGAGAUUAACACCGCAUAACAUUGAUGAACGGCAUCGUUUUUCAAUCAAAUAUUUAUAGGAUAUGGAUGGGCUCGCGUGACAUUAGCUAGUUGGAGAGGUAACGGCUCACCAAGGCUACGAUGUCUAGGGGCUCUGAGAGGAGAAUCCCCCACACUGGUACUGAGACACGGACCAGACUCCUACGGGAGGCAGCAGUAAGGAAUAUUGGUCAAUGGAGGCAACUCUGAACCAGCCAUGCCGCGUGCAGGAUGACUGCCCUAUGGGUUGUAAACUGCUUUUGUCAGGGAAUAAACCUACUUACGUGUAAGUAGCUGAAUGUACCUGAAGAAUAAGGAUCGGCUAACUCCGUGCCAGCAGCCGCGGUAAUACGGAGGAUCCAAGCGUUAUCCGGAUUUAUUGGGUUUAAAGGGUGCGUAGGCGGUCUUAUAAGUCAGUGGUGAAAGACGGCAGCUUAACUGUCGCAGUGCCUUUGAUACUGUAGGACUUGAAUCUAUUUGAAGUGGGCGGAAUAAGACAAGUAGCGGUGAAAUGCAUAGAUAUGUCUUAAAACUCCGAUUGCGAAGGCAGCUCACUAAGUUAGUAUUUGACGCUGAUGCACGAAAAGCGUGGGGGAUCAAACAAGGAUUAAGAUACCCCUGGGUAGUCCACCGCCCCUAAAACCAAUGAUUAACUCCGAUGUUUUUGCGAUACACAAGUAAAGCGUCCCAAGCGAAAAGCG